GGGAUUUGGACGCAAGCGGCCAGCAGGCUGGGGCUGGGGCGCCCUGGGGUGGAGAUCCCGGUUCCACGCACCCGCUCUGGCUCUUGGAGGGUGUUGUAUUUAGUUGAAGGAACAGAAACUAAGGCAGGGGGGCAUCCAUAUAAACCACAGCAAACACUUAAAGAAGCAUGGGAAGAAGAGACCAACAAGGAGCUCUACUAUAGAGAAUUGGCUCCCAUGGCUAUGAAAGAUUGAAGAUCCCAGUUGACUUGUUGAAUCAGGAGAGCCCAAGAUGUAGAUUUACUUCUAAUCCAGCGGCCUGAGAUGCAGCAGAUGUAAUUAUAUACGCUCUGGACUGAAGGCUGGGAGGCCCGAGACCCACAGGAAUGCAGUUCCCCAGUGAUAUUCCCCCAGCAAACACAGCCCUUCCCAUCCCAGCAGGCAUAGGUGAGCAAAACCCGCAUACCCUGAGCUCAUGAGUGAGAAGAACUUGUGUUUUCGGUAUCUGACUGGGUGGAGCUGGUGGGUGACAAUAACCAACAUACCGAGCACCAUACAGGAGAAUGCCCAUAACUUCCUAGUUCAUCUUGCCUGAAAGCCUGAGAAAUGAUUCUAAAUUCCUAAUAGGUUCCCUAAGUGCAUCACAAAUUGUCCACUUGCUUUGAAGAGCUAUUCUAAGAUGAUGAACCUUUUAUGCAAAUAAGAUACUAGCCAACUAAAUCAUAUAAUUACAGUAGGGAAGGGGGUGUUUAUAAUUACUCAGCUAUAGAUAAUGAAAUCUCUGCCCAGUCCCCACAAAGACAA